rnacentral:rRNA from 2 species
ACGCUGGCGGUAGGCCUAACACAUGCAAGUCGAACGGCAGCACAGAGGAGCUUGCUCCUUGGGUGGCGAGUGGCGGACGGGUGAGGAAUACAUCGGAAUCUACUUUUUCGUGGGGGAUAACGUAGGGAAACUUACGCUAAUACCGCAUACGACCUACGGGUGAAAGCAGGGGACCUUCGGGCCUUGCGCGAUUGAAUGAGCCGAUGUCGGAUUAGCUAGUUGGCGGGGUAAAGGCCCACCAAGGCGACGAUCCGUAGCUGGUCUGAGAGGAUGAUCAGCCACACUGGAACUGAGACACGGUCCAGACUCCUACGGGAGGCAGCAGUGGGGAAUAUUGGACAAUGGGCGCAAGCCUGAUCCAGCCAUACCGCGUGGGUGAAGAAGGCCUUCGGGUUGUAAAGCCCUUUUGUUGGGAAAGAAAUCCAGCCGGCUAAUACCUGGUUGGGAUGACGGUACCCAAAGAAUAAGCACCGGCUAACUUCGUGCCAGCAGCCGCGGUAAUACGAAGGGUGCAAGCGUUACUCGGAAUUACUGGGCGUAAAGCGUGCGUAGGUGGUUGUUUAAGUCUGUUGUGAAAGCCCUGGGCUCAACCUGGGAACUGCAGUGGAAACUGGACAACUAGAGUGUGGUAGAGGGUAGCGGAAUUCCCGGUGUAGCAGUGAAAUGCGUAGAGAUCGGGAGGAACAUCCAUGGCGAAGGCAGCUACCUGGACCAACACUGACACUGAGGCACGAAAGCGUG